rnacentral:rRNA from 1 species
UACGUAGGGGGCUAGCGUUGUUCGGAAUCACUGGGCGUAAAGGGCGCGUAGGCGGCUUUGUAAGUCGGGGGUGAAAGCCUGUGGCUCAACCACAGAAUUGCCUUCGAUACUGCAUGGCUUGAGACCGGAAGAGGUAAGUGGAACUGCGAGUGUAGAGGUGAAAUGCGUAGAUAUUCGCAAGAGCACCAGUGGCGAAGGCGGCUUACUGGUGCGGUUCUGACGCUGAGGCGCGAAAGCGUGGGGAGCAAACAGG